AUAUUGAACAGCGCGGCAAGGUCUGCUCGUUGAGGUAGUAGGUUGUAUAGUUGCGAGCUGCAUCCUUUCGAGAAACUGUCCAGCCUGCUAGCUUGCCGCGCGGACCGACGCUCAUGUAAUGAGUUA
rnacentral:precursor_RNA from 9 species